rnacentral:misc_RNA from 1 species
AGCAGCCGCGGUAAUUCCAGCUCCAAUAGCGUAUAUUAAAGUUGUUGCAGUUAAAAGCUCGUAGUUGAAUUUCGGGAUUGACACAUCGGUCGUGCCUUAAGGGGUAUGAACUGGUGUAGUCAAUUUCUCACCUUCUGGAGAACCGCGAUGCCCCUAAUUGGGUGUCGCGGGGAACCAGGACCUUUACUUUGAAAAAUUAGAGUGUUUAAAGCAGGCAUUAUGCUUGAAUACAUUAGCAUGGAAUAAUAAAAUAGGACGGCAUGAUUCUAUUUUGUUGGUUUCUAGGAUCACCGUAAUGAUUAAUAGGGAUAGUUGGGGGCAUUAGUAUUCAAUUGUCAGAGGUGAAAUUCUUGGAUUUAUUGAAGACUAACUACUGCGAAAGCAUUUGCCAAGGAUGUUUUCAUUAAUCAAGAACGAAAGUUAGGGAUCGAAGACGAUCAGAUACCGUCGUAGUCUUAACCAUAAACUAUGCCGACUAGGAAUCAGACGAUGUUAAUUUUUAAUGUACUUCGUUUGGCUA